rnacentral:rRNA from 1 species
AUUGAACGCUGGCGGCAUGCUUUAAACAUGCAAGUCGAACGAGUGGCGAACGGGUGAGUAAUAUAUCGGAACGUACCGAGUAAUGGGGGAUAACCAAUCGAAAGAUUGGCUAAUACCGCAUAUUAUUCGAGCGGCCGAUAACUGAUUAGCUAGUUGGUGGGGUAAAGGCCUACCAAGGCGACGAUCAGUAGCGGGUCUGAGAGGAGGAUCCGCCACCCUGGGACUGAGACACGGCCCAGACUCCUACGGGAGGCAGCAGUGGGGAAUUUUGGACAAUGGGGGCAACCCUGGUCCAGCCAGACCGCGUGAAUGAAGAGGGCCUUCGGGUUGUAAAGAACUGUUGUUAGGAGAGCGGUACCAAAAGAAUAAGCACCGGCUAACUACGUGCCAGCAGCCGCGGUAAUAC